CACUCUCAAAGGAUAAUAGUCUUCCACUAAUUUUAGGAAUUAG
rnacentral:tRNA from 1 species